GGCCAAAUCCGGCCGAUCCGGCCACCGAUUGGACCGGGUCUUGUGUCCAAAAUCAUCUACUCGGCGAGAGCUUUCCAUAGACACCAAGAACGCCGAAAUCCAUCGAGCGGAUUGUCCGAUUUUUGCUCGGGAAGAUUUUAGCCCAUUUCGACUUUUGGGCUAGAUUUCUCGAAAACCGUGAAUCCCACGAGAAAACCGAGGCCACCAGCACGCUCCAUUCGUCGAGAGCUUCGCAACGACAUAAAUUUCGAAUUUUUCCGACACCGUUUUUCGGUGGGUCCCACGGAACUUCGCAGUGUAUUUUCGAGCAUUAAAUGAGCUUAGAAAAUUCUGAAAAAUUUAUGUACUAACCCCCGUGUUAUGGGCUUCGUGUAGGUAUCAUCGAUUCUCGGAAAUUCGACAGUUGACUGGGUCUGCAAAUUUCGGGCCAGACAGACCCGUUACCGGAAAAGUCCCCGAAUUGGACCGAGGUUUUGGCUAGCCCCCCAUUGUCAGACGUCCCGAGCGCGUUCCCGAAGUCAGAAUCGGCAAAGGUGAGCCGGGACAGCCUUCUUCCUCCGCCCAGCCGCCACAGUGAUUGUCGUCAAGUCUGCCGCAGGAGGAUAUUUUAUUCUGGGUUAACCUGCUUUUAUACUUCGCAGGUUGUUUAUCGAUAUUUGUGUAAUUUUAUUUACUCCUAGAAUUUCCGCAUGUGUUAGCAGUAAUUAUUUGAAUUUGGUCUGUAAUAUUAUUAUCAUGUUGGACCUGUAAACUUAAUAUUUUAAGUCUGUUUGAUGGAUUGGAUGAGGGAGCUGAGCUCCCAUUUAUUAUUAUGUUGAUGAGUAUGUGGAGGGUGAGCUGAGCUCCCCAAUGGAUUGUUUAUUGUGUUUACAGGUCGGGUGAGUCGAAAACUCCCCGUUGGAAAGUCCAUUUUAUGGCCGGACUCUGUCCGUUUGUUUUCUUGAAUUUAGGCCCAAUGGGCCUUAGAGUUGGGUUAAUGAACAGUUAGGCUUACUACGGGC